AAAAGAAUGGUUAAGGUAGGCUGGGUGUGGUCUGGCCUGGCCAGAUGGCAGAGCCACACCUGGCUCAUGUUAACUUUCAUAUUAACAGGUUUUGAUUAUCACCUAACCAGAUACAAUAUGUAAAAAUCUUUUUUUUUUUCUUUACAGGAGACUUAAUGGAGCAUUUAGUUGCCCAUCCUGAAUUCAAGAUGCUGAGUGUUCGUAACAUUCCUCACAUGUCUGAGAACUCAUUGGCAUACAGCACAUUUACCUGGGCUGGCCUCCUCAAGCACUUGAGACAGAUGCUCAUUUCUAAUGCAAAGAUGGAAGAAGGAAUUGAUUGGCAAGUACGGCCUCCUUUAUCAGGACUCCCUCCUCUUGGUAAAAUGUCUCUCAGCAAAGACCUGCAUUUUAACACUUCCAUUGCUAACUUGGUCAUUCUUCGUGGGAAAGAUGUGCAAAGUGCAGAUGUGGACAGAGUCUUGCUCUGUCACCAGGCUGGGGUGUAGU